GUUACUGUCAUUCAUAUUCACCCAGUUCAAUGUAACAGUGACAGGUUUAGGUUACUGUCAUUAAUAUUCACCCAGUUCAAUGUAACAGUGACAGGUUUAGGUUACUGUCAUUCACCCAGUUCAAUGUAACAGUGACAGGUUUAGGUUACUGUCAUUAAUAUUCACCCAGUUCAAUGUAACAGUGACAGGUUUAGGUUACUGUCAUUCACCCAGUUCAAUGUAACAGUGACAGGUUUAGGUUACUGUCAUUAAUAUUCACCCAGUUCAAUGUAACAGUGACAGGUUUAGGUUACUGUCAUUCACCCAGUUCAAUGUAACAGUGAUAGGUUUAGGUUACUGUCAUUCAUAUUCACCCAGUUCAAUGUAAUAGUGACAGGUUUAGGUUACUGUCAUUCAUAUUCACCCAGUUCAAUGUAAUAGUGACAGGUUUAGGUUACUGUCAUUCAUAUUCACCCAGUUCAAUGUAACAGUGACAGGUUUAGGUUACUGUCAUUCAUAUUCACCCAGUUCAAUGUAACAGUAAUGGGUUUAGGUUACUGUCAUUCAUAUUCACCCAGUUCAAUGUAACAGUGACAGGUUUAGGUUACUGUCAUUCACCCAGUUCAAUGUAACAGUGAUGGGUUUAGGUUACUACAUGAUACUAGAAUGUUCUCUGAACCCAUCAUGAGGUUUCUACAACCUAGCCUAUGAAUGAAAGAUCACAACGUAGGUGCACACAGGUCGAGAGAUACAUUUGAGAAGACAGAGAGUGACACAUGGACAGCCCGUGACAUUCAAUACCGCCUUUGCACACGCUUGCCUGCACCUACCUAAUAUAGAGAGUGUAAUCACUUAGAAACGUUUUAACCGAAUCUACGGAAUGAAUACACUACCUGAUCACACGGAAAGAUAACUAACAGUG